GCAGCAGGAACCCUUCGUUGAUAGGGGUGACCGUGGCGGAGGGGACAGAGGAGGUGGGUGUGUUGGACUUGCUGCCGGUGCUGCUGGGUGUCGCUGCCACCGAGUCAGACUCGGAUCCAUCCUCCUGAUGAGUGGCGACCAGCUGUUCCUAUGAUACCAACAAGAUGAGCGUGAUGGAACACUGAAAGCUGCAUGCACCCAGAAAAACAACGUGAAACUGAGACAGCGGCACAAGGUUCUGAUCAUCACGCCUUAAUGGGUGACAGCGACACCACAGCGGCCACUCACGUUCGUCCACAGCCGGGACCUUCUGACUGGCUGUUGCUCCCUGCCUGCUGCAGUUUGGAUCGUUCUAUGUGCUCCACGUACGUCUGAAUCAUCUGAGAUGGAGAAAAGUGAGAACUGAUGAGACAACACCCGACCUGAGAGUUCUCCAACUACAAAGCAAUUUUGCAUCUUUUUAAAAAAACUGUUAGGAAUUUAUAGUCUGGAUAAUUAAACAAAAAAAGAUCUGAUGGAGACGUUUUUGGUCUUGCCAGGUUGGUUUACCAGGUCAUCAUUGUAAAUGAGAAUUUGUUCUCAAAUGAUCCUCCUGGUAAAAUAAAUGAUAAUGAAAUACAAAAAAAAUACAAAUAGAUAAAUUUCAAUAGAGCAGGAUUCCGUCCUUUUUAUGUCAAGUUUUUUUUUGUUGGUUGAAGAACUAAAUAACACAGAAAACAUUUUUAGAAAAAAAAAAAAGAAAAGAAAA